rnacentral:rRNA from 1 species
CUGCCCUUGGGUUCGGAAUAACAGUUAGAAAUGACUGCUAAUACCGGAUGAUGUCUUCGGACCAAAGAUUUAUCGCCCAGGGAUGAGCCCGCGUAGGAUUAGGUAGUUGGUGGGGUAAAAGCCUACCAAGCCGACGAUCCUUAGCUGGUCUGAGAGGAUGAUCAGCCACACUGGGACUGAGACACGGCCCAGACUCCUACGGGAGGCAGCAGUGGGGAAUAUUGGACAAUGGGCGAAAGCCUGAUCCAGCAAUGCCGCGUGAGUGAUGAAGGCCUUAGGGUUGUAAAGCUCUUUUACCCGGGAUGAUAAUGACAGUACCGGGAGAAUAAGCUCCGGCUAACUUCGUGCCAGCAGCCGCGGUAAUACGAGGGGAGCUAGCGUUAUUCGGAAUUACUGGGCGUAAAGCGCACGUAGGCGGCUUUGUAAGUAAGGGGUGAAAGCCCAGAGCUCAACUCUGGAAUAGCCUUUUAGACUGCAUCGCUUGAAUCCAGGAGAGGUGAGUGGAAUUCCGAGU